AUAAACGCUGGCGGCGUGCAUUAUGCAUGCAAGUCGAACGGUGCCGCAAGGCACAGUGGCAAACGGGUGAGUAACACGUAAGUAACCUGCCUCUAAGUGGGGAAUAACUUCGGGAAACUGAGGCUAAUACCGCAUAUGGUUUUCUCUUAAUGGAGAGUUUACCAAAGCCGCAAGGCGCUUGGAGAGGGGCUUGCGCCCGAUUAGCUAGUUGGUGGGGUAACGGCCUACCAAGGCUGUGAUCAGUAGCUGGUCUGAGAGGAUGGUCAGCCACACUGGGACUGAGACACGGCCCAGACUACUACGGGAGGCAGCAGCAAGGAAUUUUGCGCAAUGGGAGAAAGCCUGACGCAGCAACGCCGCGUGAGGGAUGAAGGCCUUCGGGUUGUAAACCUCUUUUGUCAGGGACGAAUAAUGACGGUACCUGGCGAAUAAGCUUCGGCUAACUACGU
rnacentral:rRNA from 1 species